AGGCUGGCACUAGCCCGGGCCACGAUAGGUCGGACUACAGCUGGUAGCAACUGGGGGUCGGAAGUGGAGCCCAGACAACAGCGGAGGAGAAAUUUCCGGGGCAGAAAAUGAAGGUGUCCGAGAGACUGACAAUUCUCUUCUGACUUCCUCAGUGCUAACUGGCUUUGGGUAUCUCCUGCAGCAAAGUGGCCGCCCCGCCCUCUCAUCCCCUGCGACCCAGCACCCUUCUUCCUUGCCUUGAGGCUGCGCCUUAGACAGCCCGGGACUUAUUUUACAACAAGCCAAGCAUGGAAGCCCAGUUGUGGGAUUCUCUUCCACUUGGAAAUUACCUCAAGAUGGGUUAUCUGCAACCUGGCUACAACUGACAUAGUACCAGCUGGAACUCCAGGUGGACAAUAAUUCAAGAUAGCAUUUGCAGCAAGACAUGCAGACCUGCAUCCUGUACUACUUCUGUGUAUUUUUCAUGCCAAGCCUCUACUUUUAAAUCCCUCCCCUCAGCCGAAGACCUAAAAUGGUCUUUUAAAGAUAUGAGUCUGGCCAUUUCCCAGUUGGUAGCAUUUGAUAUAUAAAACUGCCUUCCUCUCACCACACCUCACUUCUUGAGUUUUCGGCCUCUGAGCAGCAAGCAGCCGCACUUCAGCCAGCUACAAGUAUAUGCUCAGAAGUUACAUUAAAGCAAAAUCAUAUCACCGUUUAGGUGCAAGAGUAUAUCUGGUUGUGGAUUACAGAGGCAUAAUCACUAACCGUGUCAGAAGUUGUCUUAUGUGUAGGAAAAGGCAAGGACUAGGGUCAUUUAUCUUUUAAGGAAUGUAGUGACUCAGGCAAGAGAUGUGGUGUCCAUGUGCUGUAUCCUUGUUUUAUCUUCAAAUCAUCCUUCUGGAGAGCUGCAUAUCAUUACAAAGUCAGGGCUUUGUGAAAUUUUGCUGGCAAGCAGAAAUGAACAAACACGGCUUCUUACAUUUGCAACUUUGUCUCACAACACACAUUGAAUUUUCUCUAAGGGACAUUUUUUAAGUGAAAGGGUGGCACAAGAAUAUGGGAGCUACACCGGAAAGGUAGAGUGAAGAUCUCCCUCAGUCUCACAGUGCUUGCAAUUCAAAGUCCUGCUAGAAGAAGGAUCAAGAAAAAAUUUAUUGUGUAAAUUAUAUACUUGGCUUUUGUCUCUGUUUCCUGGCAUAUAAUUCUUAAAAUCUUUGGAAUCUCCAAAGUGAUGUUGUUUUGUAUACUAACAAGUUUACUGAUGGCUAGUAGCCCCUAGGUAGCUUCAGGAUGAAGGCUGGUCAUAGAAGAAAACAAGACAUGAUUAAGAGGAUUGGGACUUUCAGCCCCAUCUCCAACUUCCAGAUAGGAUAGAGGGGUUGAAGGUUAAGUCAAUCAUGAAAAGCCAAUAGCUUCAUCAAUCAUGCCUAUGUAAUGAAGUUUCCAUAAAACCCCAAAAGAACUGGGUUUGGAGAGCUUCCAGAUAACUGAAUACGUGGAGGAUCCUAGAGAGUGACACACUCGUCGAAGCUCCUCCCCUUCUCCCAUACCUCACCCUGUGCAUCUCUUCAUCUGUUUUCUUUGCCCAAUAAACUGGUAAAGGUAA